rnacentral:rRNA from 1 species
ACACUCCUGCGGGAGGCAGCAGUGGGGAAUUUUGGACAAUGGGCGAAAGCCUGAUCCAGCAAUGCCGCGUGUGUGAAGAAGGCCUUCGGGUUGUAAAGCACUUUUGUCCGGAAAGAAAUCCUUGGCUCUAAUACAGUCGGGGGAUGACGGUACCGGACGAAUAAGCACCGGCUAACUACGUGCCAGCAGCCGCGGUAAUACGUAGGGUGCGAGCGUUAAUCGGAAUUACUGGGCGUAAAGCGUGCGCAGGCGGUUUGCUAAGACCGAUGUGAAAUCCCCGGGCUCAACCUGGGAACUGCAUUGGUGACUGGCAGGCUAGAGUAUGGCAGAGUGGGGUAGAAUUCCACGUGUAGCAGUGAAAUGCGUAGAGAUGUGGAGGAAUACCGAUGGCGAAGGCAGCCCCCUGGGCCAAUACUGACGCUCAUGCACGAAAGCGUGGGGAGCAAACAGGAUUAGAAACCCCAGUAGUCCCAUGAU